rnacentral:ncRNA from 1 species
ACAAAACCCGCGCUGUGUAUGCAGCGCGGGUUUUUCUUAUGCGUUAUCCUGGAACUUUGGCGAUGGGGCCGGGAGGGCCAAGCGUAUCAUCGAUCUGUCGGUCGGUAUGGUAAGUGACGCAAGCUGAAAGAAGAGCGCUGAACAGCAGAAAAAAUACCGAUAGAAACAAUCUGCGUCCGAUGACCCCUAUCGAAUUUAAAAUAUCAAACAUUUGGAUUUAAUCCCUGAGUGAAGAUUGCAGUCGUAAAGUAAAAGGACAGUCCAGGCACUUGCGCUUUUUUGCCUGCAAAGAAUUCCGGUUUGCCGGUUUUCCCGGCGUCCAGUUUUGGGUAUGAGAGCGCAUCCCGAAAAGUGUGAAACGGUUUUCGGAUAAGAUGCGCGUCAAAAAAUAGUUGGAGCGCCGAUCUGAUUCAUU